GAGGGUAUAGCUCAGUGGUAGAGCACAUGCUUAGCAUGCACAAGGUCCUGCGUUCAAGCCCCAGUACCUCCA
rnacentral:tRNA from 1 species